rnacentral:rRNA from 1 species
UACGGGGGGGUGCGAGCGUUGUCCGGAAUCACUGGGCGUAAAGGGCGCGUAGGUGGCCUGAUAAGGGUGUGGUGAAAAGUCCGGGGGCUCAACCCCCUGAUCGGCCCGUGCGAACUGGGGGAGCUUGAGCACUGUAGAGGCAGGCGGAAUUCCGGGUGUAGCGGUGGAAUGCGUAGAGAUCCGGAAGAACACCGGUGGCGAAGGCGGCCUGCUGGGCAGUUUUUGCUGACACUGAGGCGCGACAGCGUGGGGGGAGCAA